CCUACGGGUGGCAGCAGUGAGGAAUAUUGGUCAAUGGCCGCAAGUCUGAACCAGCCAAGUCGCGUGAAGGAUGACGGUCCUAUGGAUUGUAAACCUCUUUUGUCCGGGGGCAAACGGCGCCACGUGUGUCUUUUUGCGCGUACCUUACGAAUAAGCAUCGGCUAACUCCGUGCCAGCAGCCGCGGUAAUACGGAGGAUUCAAGCGUUAUCCGGAUUUAUUGGGUUUAAAGGGUGCGUAGGCGGGAAGGUGAGUCAGCGGUAAAAUCUCGGGGCUCAACCCCGGGAGUGCCUCUGAUACUGGCGGGCUAGAGAGAGCGAGAGGUAGGCGGAAUGCGUGGUGUAGCGGUGAAAUGCAUAGAUAUCACGCAGAACACCGAUUGCGAAGGCAGCUUACCGGGGCGCAACUGACGCUGAGGCACGAAAGCGUGGGGAGCGAACAGGAUUAGAUACCCGAGUAGUC
rnacentral:rRNA from 1 species